UUAUCACUAGCGGGCGCCGCGGGGCGGUGCUGAACCGUCCCUAAGCCCCGCCAAUCGGAGCGCACCACGCGAAACGCAGAGCCACUAGGAAGCUCGGAUGGGAGGAGCGGGCUGUCCUCCCGGCCAAUCGCGCCGUUCCAGGUGAGAUUUCCCGGUGCCAGAGCGUGGCCGCAGUCGAUUGGAUGUUGCCAUGUUAACAGACCAAUCGCUUUUAAGGGCGGGAACAGCCAGGUGUCUGUGGGUGUGGUUGGUAUUAAUUUUUCAACUUUUGGUUCGAAAUUAACACCUCCUCCGGCGAUUAUCAGAAUACCUCCGAAGAGUGGAUUUUAAAAAGAGUAAAAAUCAACACGUUUCGAUCUGAAGUACUUCCGGGGCAUUUGGAAAGCCUUAAUUUGACAGUUACUAGGACAACCACUACUUCCGCUUUUGUGCGGUGACCAGUGAAGCCGCGUGCGAAGAUAGUUGAGGGGUGAUGCUUCCGCACGAGCUUCCUGUUUGGCUAGAAGUGCAUUGACGUUACUACGAAGUCCGCAAUUUCCACAAACUACUUCAAUGCUUGAAACAACAUUCUCACAGCGACUCUCCAGAGGUUCGCCCUGCGGUUAUUCAUUCCCCGUCGAUGGUCUCUGGGCUGCAUCAAACUCUGAUGGAAGUGGUUUCCUUGCGAUGCACGAUGGUAGUUGUAGUCCAUUGGAGGGACUGGGAAAACUCCUCUAGUCGACUCGCAUGUAUAUAAACUUUAUGCUCUCUUUAUUCAGUCUGCUGCAAAGCUUAUAUGCAUAUGUGAAGUAGUAGUCUCGGAUUUUACCUUUUGCGCCUGAAUUGCCUGCUGAGUAAGUCAUCCUCAGGAAUUAUGAUGCAUUUAAGGUCUUGUGAGCAGGAUCGCUAUAAGGUAGUUUGGUAAUUGUGAAUGGGUAAUCGAAGAGAACUCCAGCUACAGUUUGGGAUGUGUUAAAUGUUAAUGGAGUGAGCCGUUUUGAGAGGAUACAAUUCUCAUACAUCAGAUGUGUUAAAAGCAAUGUGACCCAAUUAUUAUGGCCAGCACCAACUUACACUAAAUAGUCCACAAACUGUAUUCUUGUAUAUUCUGAACUUGUAUACUCAGAAAUCGAUUCCAAUGUUGUGGGCCUAGUUACUCUCUGUCCCUGAUGUGAACUGUCAAAACUUUGUCAUCUUUUUUGUGGCACCAAUUAAUCACUUCAUUUAAUUCAUAAUAAACUAUAAGAGACAAUUAUGAAAUGCAUUUCUGUAUGCUUGGCACGUGCUCAUUCAACUCCACUGCCUUUUGGAUGGUUCUUAAUUAUAAAUAAAUUAUCCCUAUUUUUUCAGCUAAAUAUAAUACACAUUUUCCAUCUAUUUCAGAACUAUAUUUCAUAAUUUCAGUGUCAAACAACAACAUUUGAUCACAGAUGUUCUCAUUCAGAAUACAUUAACAUGUUCCAAAUUCUGAUUAGAUAAUAAUUACCAAAGCACAGAACAUGUUAUACCUUCCAAAGUGGAAGGGAACUGCCGGUGAUGUAUACAUGUAGGCCAAGUUCAAACAGCUGCUUUGGGUUAGUUUAAGGACUUGUGUACACCUAGUGGGGUUUGGCCUUUUUGUUUCUUUUGAACAUGGUUUCCCCCACUACCAUCCAUGCCACAUCACUACCUGCCUUUGAAGCUCCUUGUACUUUCAAACAAAACCAUCAAGAAUGAAUUGCUGCUGCUCUGGGAAACACUAACUAGCUUUGCACAUAUAGAACUAGAGUACAGUUCUAUAGAUCUUCACCAUAGUGAAAAACAUUAGAUUCUGAAAUUAUUAUAUAAAUAACAGUCAGAAAAGAAAAAUAUGUUAGUAUAGUCACACUUUGCGUAAAUUUGCAAAAGCAGCUAAAAUAUAUCAUGAUUGACAUUAAGGCUGCAAUGCUGUACACUCUUAAGUUUGGAGUAAGCACAAUUGAUGGCUAUGGAAUUUGUGAGUAAACAGGUUAUUCCUAGAAGGCACCACUUUAUAUUCCACUUUAUAUUAAAUGCAUUAAAAUCCUAGGGCUAGCUAAGUCAGCCUUGGAUCAGAGUUCAUAUGCAAAAGUUCCAGUUGAAAUCUCAGGUCUUUGUUAUUUAUAUAGAUGUGUAGCACAGUACAUGCCGGCAUUUCCUUAAUUCUUGUUGUAUGAUGCAACCAGACCAUUUGCUCAUUGUAACGGAUUCGAAGUCUUCACUGCUGUGAACCAAGAAGAGACUGCCGUCCCCUGCUGGGGGCAGGGCUUGAAGAGUUUGUGGUAUCUUCUUUUUGAGUUCUUAGGAAAAGGAUUUUAUUUGUUCAAACCGUGCACUUCACCAUUAAACUACCUGCUUCCUAA